CUUCUUGAUGGCAGCAGAUAAUUAGCACUCUCUCUUUAAAUAGAAUCUGCAUCUAAAGUAGACCUGCAGUCAUGCCUAGAGAAAAAUUUGAGGGAACUAGUCCAAUGCUGAGUUUCUUCAGAGCUGCAUGGAGAGAGAAGGGUAACAAAAUAUCCUAAGAAACAUAGCCCUUCAUCACUCCAUACCCUUAAACACUUACAGGACCAUGGAUGGUGAUCUUCUCCACAGGCUAAAAUAAAUUCUGGUGGAGCACAGAAUGUUACUCUGUCUCCUAGAAUGAAGUACAGUGACGUGAUCUCAGCUCACUGCAACCUCUGGCUGUCGAGCUUCAAGUGAUUUGAUUCUCAUGACUCAGCCUCCCAAGUAGCUGGAAUGACAGGACCCCAGGCUCCGGCUUCACCGAGAUAUGGCUGUAUCUGCUGAUUUUAAGAGGACCGUCCAAAGGAGUCCUUGGAAGCCACCGUGCUUCACAGAGAUUCUCAAUAAGGGAGCUGAGCAACAUCCCAUAAGAGAGAAGGGAAUGCAGGGGAAUGUUCCACAUGAAUGUUCACCAAAGGGUGACCGCAGUAGAGGAGGCUUUUAAUAAUCAAGUUGUUUGGAAGAUUCAUUCUGUCAGUCAGUCAGCUUCUUUCUCCAGACAGUUCUGUCAUCUCCCAACAGAUUCAUGGACAAAGUGGUCAUGGUGGCAGGAACUGAAGUUGUGCAUGGGCUCAGCAACAUGGACGACACUCACCAAGAGUGACCUGGCUACAACCUCUGCUGAGCACCCAACCAGCCAGCAGCAGAGAUCAGCACUGAGUCUCUGACAGGGACAAUUCCCCAGAGUGAUUGGCCUGCUUAUUUAGUGGCAACUUGACUACACUGGACUGUUUCCAUCAUGGAAGAGGCAGUGUUUUGUUCUUACUGGAAUAGACACUUACUGUGAACACAGAUUUGCUUUCCUCUUAUCCUCCCCCCCAAAAAAAGGAUGUGCUUUUUCUAAAUGCAAUGCUUCUGCAAAAAGCAAAAUAAUAAUAAUAAUAAUACCAUCUGUGGACUUGAAGACUACCUUUUCCACCAUAAUGGUAUUCCCACAUAACGUUACUUCUGAGUAAGGAACUCACUUCACAGCAAACGAAGUGUCGCAGUGGGCUCAUGCCUAUGCAAUUGACUGGACUAACCAUAUUCCCCAUCAUCCUGAAGCAGCAGGCUUGACAGCUCAGUGGAAUGGCCUUGUGAAGACUCAAUUAUGAUGGCAGCCAGGUGGCAAUACUUUGCAGGACUGGGGAAGCAUCCUCCAGGAGGACGUGCAUGCUGUAAAUCAGCAUCAAAUAUACAUACUGUUUCUCCGGUAGCCAGGAGUCACGGAUCCAGAAAUCAGGGGAUAGAAAUGGGGGUGACACCACUCACUAUUGCCAUAGGUGAUCCGCUAGCAAAAUGUUUGCUUCUGUUCCUGUGACCUGAUGCUCAGCUGGUCUAGAAGUCUUAGUUAGAAAGGAAGGAAUGCUUCCACCGGAGAUUCAACGAUUCCAUUGAAUUACAAGUUAAAACUGCCACCCUGCCACUUUGGUCUCCUCUUACCUCUGAACUAACAGGCAAAUAAGGGAGUGUUGUACUGGUUGGGAUGAUUGAUCCUGAUUAUCAAAGGGAAAUUGGGCUGCUACUGCACAACAGAAGACAACGUAUAUUUGGAAUACAAGAGAUUCCUUAGGGCACCUAUUAGUACUACCAUGUCCUAUGAUUAAAGUCAAUGGAGAACUACAACCCAAUUCAGGAAGAACUGCUAAUGGCCCAGCUUUCAGAAAUGAAGAUUGGGGUGACCUACCAAGCAAAGAGCCAUGGCCAGCUUAGGUGCUUGCUGAGGGCAAAAGGAAUAUGUCAUAGGUAGUGGAAGAAGGUAACUAUAAACCAGCUAUGACCAUGUGACCAGAUGCAGAAAUGAGGACUAUAUGGCGGCCUUCGGGAAGAGCAGGCUGGAGCUCUCAGGUAAGAACUAACUGCAAUCCACAGGCAGAAUUUCUUCUUCAGGAAAACCAGUUCUGUAUUCGUACCUUUCAACUGUUUGUGUCAGGCCACCCAGAGUAUUAGGAAUAAUCUCCUUUACAUAAAAUAAACUAAUUGAAGAUGCUAAUCACAUCUACAACACCUAGAGUCACGUUUGAUUAAAUAGCUGUGGAAUAUAGCCCAGCCUAGAUGGCACAUAAAACUGGCCAUCACAAGGUAUAAUUAAAGUACAAUAAGCUGCGCAUAUUUAAAGUGUACCUUCUGAUUCAUUUAAACACAUGUGGAAACCCACGAAAUUAUCACCAAAAUCAAGAUACCAAAUUUUUCAUCACCCCCAACAGUUUCUUUGCUCCCCUUUGUAAUCCAUCUUUCCCUCAUCUCAACCCCCCGGCAACCAGUGAUCUUUUCAAUCACUAUAAAUUAGCUGGCAUUUUCUAGAACUUUACAUAAAUGGAAUCAAGUCAGGUGCAACGGCAUAUGCCUAUAGUCCCAGCUACUUCAGUAGCUAAAGCAGGAGGCUCUCUUGGGCUCAAGAAUUUGAAUCUAGCCUGGAAAACAUAGUGGGACUCACCUCUAAAAAUUAAAAACGUUAAACAAUGGAAUCAAACAUUAUGUACUCUUUCUUGCUUCUUGCUUUCAGCAUCAUUAUUUGGAGGUCCAUCCAUGUUGAAGGGGAUGACUAAUCUGUUUCUUUUUCAUGCUGACAGUAUUUCACUGUAUGGCUAUUUCACAGUUGAUUUAUCCCUUCACCUACUGAUGGAUACAUGCGCUGCUUUAAGUUUUGCUUUAUUACAAGUAAAGCUGCUAUGGUCUUUUGUGAAUAAAUUUUUGGACGGACAUUGCUUUUGGUUUUCUCUAGUAAAUACCUAGAAGCGAUGACUCAUAGGUAAACAAACAUGUGGGUGUUUGUUUAACGUUUAAAGAAACUGCCAGCCAAGUGCAGGGGCUCCACGCCUGUAACCCCAUCACUUUGGGAAACCAAGGUGGGCAGAUCACUUGAGCUCAGGAGUUGGAGACGAGCCUGGGCAAGAUGGCGAAACCCCAUCUCUACAAGAAAAAAAAAAUCGCCAAGAUUUAAGCUAUUCUACCUGUGGCUUUAAGUACAUAAAGUAUAUUCUUAGAGUCUCUGUUUCUAGAACUAUUUUCAAAUUUCCUCUUAAAACUUCAUGUUACCAAUUUCAACUUGCCAUCUUAAUAACGAAUGCAAUCAAUUGCUAAGUUAUAAUCUUAAGAUCGUCAAAAUUCCUUUAAGGAAAGAGCAAUUUGAAGCAGUAUUGCACUUCUCCAUACCUAAUGCUUUAGUACUGUUUACUAACAGGUCAGGUAAACAAGGAAAAGCUGCAGUCUGGUAAAGACCACAUAAUUCAAUCACCCAAUCUAAGUACUAUCAGCCAAAAAGCUGAGAUUGGAGCCCUGAUUCUGGCAUUUAAAACUUUUUCUGCUCAGCCUAUAAAUACAGUAAGUGACUCAGCAUACUCAGUUUAUUUGUUACAAAAUCUUAAAACAGCUCUAAUUAAGUUUCAUCUUGAGCCUGCAGCUCACUGCGUUGGCUUAUGGCAAUGAGCAAGCCACUUACAAGUGAUACCAUCACUGCUUGACCAAGACAGACAGAAACAGAAAAAAUUAAAAAGAGAUAGUAUAAUAAGAAAAACAGAAAAGCCGAGAGGAAGAAAAAAAGAGGUAAGGAAGGUUGUAAAACUAAGUCAGAAAAGAGUUAAGCCUAAAGUCGUGAAAAAUGUUAUAGAAGGGAAUUUAUGCAAGUAAGUUGUAUAAAUUUUGUUUUGAAGGUCUAAACAAGUUUUAAAAUGUUAAUUGUAAAAGAAAUUCUGUGUGUAAACAUAUUGGUUAAAAGUUAAAAAGUAUCUAGUUUUUCUGUGAACUAAACAUUAAAAUAAAGCACAACAGGUUUUUCUUAAAGCACUAACCUUCUCUUUAUUACAAAGAUUAUUAUAAGUCUCUUAGCACAGGCAUAACCACUAGAAUUUCCAGUGCACCACCACCAGCAAAGAGACUGCAUCCUCAUCAAAGGAUGGAAAAGAAGAAAAAAUCUCAAGCCAGCCUAAGAAAGACCCUGCAGGAUGAUGCAGCUUCCUCAGACCACAUAAGCCCUGGCCAUCACCUGGAGAAUGCUGAAGAAGACAACACAGAAGGCUAAGCAAAUCCUGCUUAGGAAUUGUUUCUUUUUUAUUCUUUCACUUUACCUGCAACCUGUACCUUCUAUACUCUAUCAAGCCCAUCUUCUAAGAUACUUUUUUCUGCCCUGUAAAUUAAACUAACACCCCUUCACAGCUUCUAACUGCCCAACUGCUUAAUUAAAGAGAAAUUAACAUACCCCCAGGGAAGUUCCUCAUUAAUGGCAUACAGUAAACUAAGAGGCCAAGUAGCACUAAAAGUCAAACAAAAAUUCCUAGUUACACUUACAGCCUACAUAGUCUCAGCCACAGUCAUCCUGGCAACUGCCAGCAUUGCAGUGCCAUCUCUUGCUAAGUCAAUACAAACAGCUGCUUUUGUAAAUAAUCUGGCCAAAAAUGACGGAAAGGUGUACAAAAUCAUCUCUCCUGGUUAAACUCCCAUUCCUCAGAGUUGCUCUUUGAUUGGAAAGAAACUGUUGCUAAUUGUACUCAUAAUCGUCUUACGUUAUUUGUUAAUCCUAGGAUGCAAAGCUGGAAUAAAAGCAAGGACCACCUCGUCUAACAGAGCCAUGGCUGAACCCAUCAGUGGCCGACAGACAAAAAAGCCUAAUGUUAAUAACAAAAGAAGGGGGAGAUUUUGGAAUUAACUUGGAGUGGCUGGCAAAACAUUAGAGAAAUAUUAGGAAAACCUUUUGGAAGGCCAAAAGUUUUUAUUGGGGCAGGCUGAGGGCAACUGGCUCAUUUACAUUAGCAUAGGAAAGAGACAGACAGUAAGAGGCUUUCCCAGUUUAAGCCUGUUUAUCCCACAUCCCUUUGUCUCUACUCUGUUUAUUCAUGUAAAUUUUGUGUUGGAUGGUCCUCUCAGGGAGAGAUCAAAGGAGAAUUACCUGUUAAUAGUGUUUACUCUGAGCCCAGAACCUAAAGCUUUUAUCAUUGGUAAAACCACUCUUUUAACCAUGUUAAUUAUCCACAAGUGUUUUAACUUAGAACCUCUUGUAAAAUCCUUGCCAAAUAAAUGUGUGGAUGGAGAGGGGAUCCUGGUCGAUUGGCUGCAGUCACCUUCUGAAAGUAGCGAACAACCAUCCCUAGCCCACUUGAAUCACUGUAAUGGUGUGAGACUGCAUUCAUUCAACCGCCAUUGAGUCAGGGUCUGCAGGCCAGGCCUCCACAGGUGGUGUAAACGCCUCAGUGGGGAAUCUGGUCAUUGAUCUUUCUGGCUGCUUCAGGCUGAGGAGAGGCUUCAUGGGUAGCGCCAUACCAUGAGUGACCCUGUGGCCAUCCAGGAAUCAAAGGUUAAUCUAAUAUAGAGUUUCCAUCUGAAGCACAAUCUUUCUCUCUCCAGAUCCUCAGUUCCACAAAAGACAAAUCAUAGCAGGACCAAUUUACCAGCAAAAUAAGCGUCAGUCCCUUCUAAUUGGCCUGAUUACCCACAUAAAGUGCAACAGAGAGUCAUGGUCCACAUAGGCUCUCCUAAAUUGGCUUUGCUGGAACCUCUCACAAGGCCAUUUCAGUCAAAGUCCUGAGAAAAUAACCAAUUCCUCUAACUGUGUCCCAUUAUAAGAGAAAACAGCUUCUUAUUGAACUUAUGCAAAUAAACACAUUGCCAGGAAUCAGGAAUAUUCACAAAUAAUUUACAAAUUCUGGAGAAAUUAGGCAGAGAGAAAAAUAUGCUUCAAAUUCUGUUUACAAAACUAUACUCUGCUCAAUGUACUUAAAGCAUAUUUAAAGGCUAUAAAUGACUCAAAAGAAAAAAAAUUCUCCAGACUCUGAAAAACAAACAAAAAAUAAUCAGCAAUAUUUCAAGCAAAAAAAGCCAUAAAAAUUAUUUUAGUCCUCCAUUAGUUUGAUCCAUGCAGUCAAAUCCUGCUCUGCUUCACAAUGGGCUAGCAAUCUUUAGGAACACAUUAGCCUUUCAAUUAGUGUCCUACAAAUUUUCUCUCUAAUCCAGUGGCACAAUUUCCAGAGUUAUAAGAAAUUUGCAUUCAAGAGUUCUUUUCAUGAACCCUUUCAAAGAAUCAACCCUAGACUGUAGCUGAUUAUAUGUCACUUUUUGAGAAGCAUCAAAACAAAAUAACAAUUAUGGAUGACAAAAAUCUUAGGACAGCCAUAGUCAAAGACACAGUUGACAAGCCAAUUUGGUUAUUUCUGUGGCAUACAGCAAUUUAACAUAAUAAUCAUAAUUAUUACUGACAACAUAUAUUAAGACACAUCAGAAUUUCAGGAAUAUCAUAUAAUCCUGGAACACACAUUAACAACAUAUCUAACUAUAACCCAAAGAAAGUUAAAUACCACUUCACAUUUGACAAUGCUUGCUGUAUAAUUCUAGCAUAAAAAAUUAGCCUAAUAAGCCUAACAGAUCUCUCUUGGACUUCAGAGAAUUUAAUAUCCAAAAAAGUUAGUUUGAGAUCAAAAAGACUGAUUUUAGAACUUGAAAUUUUGCUAUUGGAAAGUCUAUCAAAUAUCAAAGGCUUACAACCUUUAAUAUCACAAAAUAGGAUUACAAAUUACUAUAAUAUAGUCAUUUACUUAGCCAAAAUUAUAAUAUGAAAUGUUUACCCUUUUAUAAAGAGAAGUCAGCUUCCUAAACAAUAAGACCUAAUAAAGACAGCAUAAGGCCAAAUAAACCUGUCUCCCUUCCUCUUUUUUUUUUCUUCUGUGGUUUUACUCAAAAGGUAAACAAAAAUCUCUUAUUAUCUCUUAUAUGAAAAUUUCAUUCAAAAGAGAAAACCAUAUAUUACCUUCAUAUGGUGUAUUACUAAUGUUAAAGCAAAUUUUAAUAAAACCUUAGAAACAAAUCUAAUUUUAAUCAGUUUGACCAUAAGGUAAGAUUUCUAUAAACUUUUUAUAACCUUUUAUAAUUUUCUAUUAGAAAGCAGAUUAAUGCUCCUAGAAAACCCUGUUAUUUUGACACACUGGCCCAGACACUGCCCUUAAAUAAGUGUGCUUUUGAUAUUAUUUAAUUUAUAGAAAAAUUCUAUACUAAUCUUAUCCCUCAAAAUUCAGCCUUAUAAUAUCAUGCACCCACCUCUUCUACAAUAGUCCCUGGGCCUAGAGGGUUAUAGUAGUUUUAACUUCUGGCCCUCUGUCUCACAAAAACAGUUCAUUUUCAUUGUCACCUUCUCCCAGGUCUGAAAACAAGGCUUCAAAUGGUGUUUAUGCUCAAGAUUUAGCAGAGGUCAGUGCCUUUUUCAGACUCAGGAGUCAAAGGCCUAUAACAACAGCACAAGGGUUAAUUAAUAGAAUAUUUAUACCACAGAAAGUCCUAUCAUUCUAACAUAUCAUAAAUUAAAACACUGUGACUUGGUAUCUAGGAGUCACCACCUGCAGUACUGCAAACCACUGGAUUAAAGUAGUUAGGUUUACACCUUGCGUGUGUCUAAUUGCUAGCAUUCUAAUGACAGAGCUAUGACUAAAAGCAUUUUUUAAAUGUGAUAGGUCUUAUGCCAAACUUAUUAAAGCAAUACAAUUAACUUUACUCUCCAUCAUUAAAGAAAUGGUAAAGGCAAAUAUCAGUUUUGGAAAUUCAGUAUGAGAAUAAAUAUCUCCUUUCACUUAAUACCAUACAACAAAACAAGGACAAAGUAAAAAGAAGCACACAGUAAUUUCUAUUCAGCUAUUUAAAAGAGCAUCAUCACACAUUUCCAAGAUUAGUUUCUACAUACAGUACUGACAGCUCAUUAGGUAAUAUCCCUCACCAAAAUCUUCAAACCAGUGAAACACUUGCACAUAUUUUGUUUUCAAGUACACACAGGAGAAUCCAUCAUUGAUAACUGGCUUUGGAUCAAAGAUCACUAGAAAGUCUCACUUUUUUUUAUACUACUUAAUCCAAGUAAAUAUCAC